ACUAGAGCAGUAACAUUGGGAGGCUGUGGAAGGGGCAAAAAGAAAAAAAUGGGGUAGAGAUAGAAUAGAUAGAAUUCAUUAGGUAUUUGGAUCUGGCAGGCAAAGGAGAGAAGUAAAGAUUACCCUUGGUACUUGGGAGAAUGGUGGUAGGAGUUAGGACAACUAACAUGUCCAUUUUGGAAUAGACUGAAUCACUGACUUUGAGCUGUCAGUAGGCAGCCCCCCAGAGUGAGUUCACAACUGAGGAGAAGAAAUCAGGAAAGAAGCCAGGUUUGGAGAUGCUGACUUGGAGGUUGUGGCAGCCAUGAGAAUGUGCCUGAUACAUUUCCCACUACAGGGAAAGUGAGGUCCCCAGCUAUUGGACUUGGAACUUUCCUCGGAGUUUGAACCAAGGACAUGCAUCUCACAGCUACUGCUGCUCACAGAGAGCGCCCCCUGCAGGCUUAAGCCCAAAUGAACUUCCAAGCCAACGGUGGCUCCAGGGAGGAAAACCUUAAGCAGCUGCUGGAGCCGGAUUGAAACAGAAUUAGUAGGACUCGUCAUACCUGCAUGGUUUGCAAGAGCAUAAAGAGAAACAUUCAUCCUCACAGAAUGGCAUCGCAUGCAGAAGCCAGGAGGGCUGCCCUCGGAGAGGAUUAAGCACACAAAGCAGAUAAUUAACUUGCUGAGGCCCCACAGAAAAUUGUGGAGUAGCAAGAACAGCAUUUGGAGUUUCUGUUAUCCUAAGAAAGGCAGAUUCAGUCAAAUGGCUGUGGUUUAUGCCUCAGGGUUCAUUUGGAGCCCUAAGUGUUAACAUGAAUUAGGGAAAAUAUGCAACCUAAACAUGAUGUCAAUAAAAUAA